AUAACUCGUACGAAGUUACAUAGUUCGUGUCAAAGAACAUAUAUGGACUUAUUCUUUUUGUUAUUAAGUUUUAUCCUUUACCUGUCUUAAAAAGUAUUUUAACACGUGACACAGGUAAAAUCUAUUUGUUCUUACUGUGCUAGAUAAUGCACAGCAAAGGUGUGCAUUAACUACCUCAGAUAUAGUGCACAGUUCAACAGUACUCUGACCCUAGAAGGCGG
rnacentral:lncRNA from 1 species